AACAAACGCUGGCGGCGUGCCUAACACAUGCAAGUCGUACGAGAAAGGGUCCUUCGGGGCCUGAGUAAAGUGGCGCACGGGUGAGUAACGCGUGGAUAAUCUGCCCUUCAGUUGGGAAUAACUCAUCGAAAGGUGGGCUAAUACCGAAUAAUGCUGUGAGACCUCGGUUGAUCAGCCAAAGAGAGCCUCUGCUUGCAAGCCCUCGCUGAAGGAUGAGUCCGCGUACCAUUAGUUAGUUGGUAGGGUAAUGGCCUACCGAGGCGACGAUGGUUAGCUGGUCUGAGAGGAUGAUCAGCCACACUGGAACUGAGACACGGUCCAGACUCCUACGGGAGGCAGCAGUGAGGAAUCUUGCGCAAUGGGGGCAACCCUGACGCAGCAACGCCGCGUGAGUGAGGAAGGUCUUCGGAUCGUAAAGCUCUGUCGGAUGGAAAGAACCGCAUAGGGGUAAACAGCCCCUGUGUCUGACGGUACCAUCAAAGGAAGCACCGGCUAACUCCGUGCCAGCAGCCGCCGUAAAAC
rnacentral:rRNA from 1 species